AGAACAGGAAAAAGAAAAAGAAAAAUACUUUGCGUCGUUUACUUCUUUUAUUUUACUUUUUUUUUUCCGCCGCCACCGCCUUCUCACUCUCCUCAUCAG
rnacentral:ribozyme from 1 species